rnacentral:rRNA from 1 species
UACAGAGGGUGCAAGCGUUAAUCGGAAUUACUGGGCGUAAAGCGCGCGUAGGCGGCUGUCUAAGUCGGAUGUGAAAUCCCCGGGCUUAACCUGGGAACUGCAUUCGAUACUGGGCGGCUAGAGUAUGAGAGAGGGAGGUAGAAUUCCACGUGUAGCGGUGAAAUGCGUAGAUAUGUGGAGGAAUACCGGUGGCGAAGGCGGCCUCCUAGCUUAAUACUGACGCUGAGGUGCGAAAGCGUGGGGAGCAAACAGG